rnacentral:rRNA from 1 species
GGGGAAUUUUCCGCAAUGGGCGCAAGCCUGACGGAGCAAUACCGCGUGGGGGAUGAAGGUUUGUGGAUUGUAAACCCCUUUUCUCUAGGAAGAACUCAAUGACGGUACUAGAGGAAUAAGCAUCGGCUAACUCCGUGCCAGCAGCCGCGGUAAGACGGAGGAUGCAAGCGUUAUCCGGAAUUAUUGGGCGUAAAGGGUCCGCAGGUGGCUAUUCAAGUCUGCUUUCAAAGAGUGGAGCUUAACUCCAUAGAGGGAGUGGAAACUGAGUAGCUAGAGUAAGGAAGGGGUAAGAGGAAUUCCCAGUGUAGCGGUGAAAUGCGUAGAUAUUAGGAAGAACACCAGUGGCGAAGGCGCUCUACUGGGCCAUAACUGACGCUGAUGGACGAAAGCUAGGGGAGCGAAAGGGAUUAGAUACCCCUGUAGUCA